rnacentral:rRNA from 1 species
UACAGAGGGGGCAAGCGUUGUUCGGAAUUACUGGGCGUAAAGGGCGCGUAGGCGGCCUGCUAAGUCGAACGUGAAAUCCCCGGGCUCAACCCGGGAACCGCGUCCGAUACUGGCAGGCUUGAAUUCGGGAGAGGGAUGCGGAAUUCCAGGUGUAGCGGUGAAAUGCGCAGAUAUCGGGAGGAACACCAAUGGCGAAGGCAGCUCGCUGGGACGUUACUGACGCUGAGACGCGAAAGCGUGGGGAGCAAACAGG